GCGCUUCAGAAGGGUUGGGCACAGAGUUAGCACUACAGGUUUGCUAUUUAUUAUUAUGACUGCUGGCAGCACGAUCAUUGUGUUUGUUCUUGUAAUUGAGUAGGAGUAUGGAUGGAUAUGACCCUGCCCUUGCACCAGAGAAGUUCUGUUGCCUCUUUGCUGGAGAGAGCACAUCUCCCUCACCAAAAUGGUGUGUGUGAUCCCUUUAAUUAAAUCACCCAUUGGAGAGUGGCGUCCACCAGGUAGACUUGAGCCUUGAAGGCAAAAUGGAGCUCCUCUUAUCCUUCUCCUGUAGGUCCAUGUGUGAGGGGCCUCUACCUCAAUCCUUCCCAAUGCACGGAAUGGAGCCUCAAUUCCUACCCCAAAUGCUCUUGUGAGCAUGAGCUGCCACGAUCCAUGGUUGGGUUGACUUCAGCUGCUUUUGUGUCUCAGCAGGUGUCCCCAACCUCAUUUCCAACAAUAGGAUGCUGAAAGAUGGUCCUAGAUGCACUCUAGAGACAUUCACCUGUUUGCUGAAAGGAAAGGAUGUAGACAUGCAUGAAGGGACUAAAGAGGCAAUCAUUAAGCCCAGUGCCAGCCAGGAUACAGGCAAUUAUUCAAACCCAGGCUCUGUGGCAGAGGCAGGGAGGACAAUGCCACAUAAACCACAGAACACCCCACAGGGAGCAAACAUGAGGCAGCGAUUAUUGCAUCAUACUAUCCAGACUUACUCAACUGUGAUAUUUGAGAAGCCUGGGCCACCUGGAGUACGUUUAGCGGCAGAACCCAGGAGAGGUGGCUACCAGCCCAACACAUAUUGACAUCUGUGGUGAGAGACCCAGGCCUCUGAGCAGAAUCUCCAAGGAACAGGAGAAGAUGAAGGGUAAACUAGCAAAUUAUCACAAUGAAGCAAGACUACGAGCUCUAGAGAGAUUAAACAGAACACGCACUGGGAGAAAAGGGGAGGGAGCAAUUGCUUCAGCCUCGCGUGAGCCCUCUGUUUGCACAGCCUGCUCUUGAAGGAUUUGGAUAAAGGUUGUGUGCCUCCCUCUUACCUUCAGCUGGGAUGAAAGCAGAAACAGCCUCUCUUCAGAGAAGAAAAGAAAGAUGACCUGGCGUUGUGAUAGUACCUGUAUCAUCUUGGACGAGUCACUGAACUUUCCACUAUUUCAGUUUCUUCAUCUGUGCACUGGGGAUCGAGAUAAUAUCCACCUCCACACCCUGCACUGCCUCCAAUGACUGACGUGAAGAGCAAGUAAGGUUGUUUCCGGUUUUUGCUGUUAGACUCAGUGUUGCUAUAAGCAUCUGUACACAUCUCCUGGUGUGUAUAAGAAACUGUAUGGAGUAUUUUUCUAGUAGUGGAAAUGCUGGGACUUAGGGUAAGUACGUAUUCAGUUCUUUGAGGAUAAUUUCA
rnacentral:lncRNA from 1 species